AGCAGCUGUCAGCUCGUUACUGAUGACAUGGAGUGGGGGCAGCUGAGAUAAAUCAGCUCCAUUUAGCCCUUUCCAGCAGCUGAAGCCGGGCCUCCAAACCCAAACCUGGGGCCCUGCAGCUGAAAUCUGGUGCUGAAGGAACACUGAAGCCUUUGGAAAGUGGUUCAGGGGGAGAAGGCGGCCCUUUAAUAACGUGAAGCACACGCCGUGUUCUAACCAGCGCACCGUAAAGGAGCUCAGCCAGAGCGGGGCAAUGGUCUGUGCAUCUCCAUCUGCUGCUGGGACACCGCUUGUUUAGAGAACUGCUUAAUCCAGACUGGAAAAUUGAAAGUGGUUCUCCAUCUUCCCGUUUUGCCGAGAGAGACCAGCAGAAAAAUAAGAAGCGGAUUACUAAGGAUUUAUUAACAUCUCAAAUCCAGCUCCUCUGGUUUUCUGAAGAGCUGAGUGAACCCGUCAGAGUGUAUGGAACUGGUGCUCUUCCUUUCUGCUCCUUUUUAAGAUGCGAUGCUCAGCCCCAAACAGAUGGGAACCUGUCAGCACAGCACGGGGAUAAUUACCCCUUGGAGCCACGGGAAGCUUCGUAACGGGUCUGGAGGCUGGCGGAGUGAAAAAUCCUGCUGCAGCAAAGCGGAGUAGUGGAUCUAACCCUCAUGAGCAGGCACCAGGAAG